UACGAAGGGGGCUAGCGUUGCUCGGAAUCACUGGGCGUAAAGGGUGCGUAGGCGGGUCUUUAAGUCAGGGGGGAAAUCCUGGAGCUCAACUCCAGAACUGCCUUUGAUACUGAGGAUCUUGAGUUCGGGAGAGGUGAGUGGAACUGCGAGUGUAGAGGUGAAAUUCGUAGAUAUUCGCAAGAACACCGGUGGCGAAGGCGGCUCACUGGCCCGAUACUGACGCUGAGGCACGAAAGCGUGGGGAGCAAACAGG
rnacentral:rRNA from 1 species